GUAGGGUCGUCUCUUGAGAGC
ensembl:piRNA 21ur-3142 ncRNA